CUGGGUGAGAAUAGGAAAGGGAGGAACUGACAACAUCUAAAUGACUGACAAGAUCUGAGUUUCUGCACUUGAUUCAUUCAUGUGUUUUGCUUUCCCCAGGUGCUAAUGGCAACUUCACUUUGAAAAUCAGCCCAGUCCAAAGAGUAAUGGAUCCAGUUACCUUAGCCAUGUUAUCGACCAAGUUCUGAGAUAGCUCUACUCGUCCGCCCAGUUUAGAGUGAAGUCCACGUGAAAUGAUCUAACUGUUACUCAGAGUGUGGGCCAGGGGUCAGCUGCAGCAGCAUCAGGAUUCAGGAUAACUUACUCAUCUCAAUAAAAUCUGCAAAGUCCCUCUUGUCAUGUAAGAGUUGUGCUGGAAAUCAGCCGUGAGCCAUGCACCGUGUUUGGAACUCAGGAGCAGACAAGGCGCUCAGAGAAGAUGAAAGGAGCAGGGGUGGAAUUGAGAUGGUGUGGCUGGAGAGGGGACGGCUGAAACAGCUGAGGACCGAGGCAGCAUCCCCCAACCUCCAAACCGGUACAGUGACACGACAUAGCCCUGUGAGGCAGGGCUGCUUGACGUGAAAUAACCCAGUGUUAGGGUCUGGAGGCGACCAAGGAGCCUAGACAGAGCAGCAGCUUCUAAAAUCGCUUCCCAACUGUCAGCAUUGCCUGGUUAGUGAUCUGCAGGGUGUUCACGGAAAACUUGUAUACUCUGACCAGCCCCUCACUUCGUGUCAUCUCUGUGCUUAAAUUGAUGUGAGGACUAUAGCAGAGAAAUGUAUAGAGGGCCACAGCCUCUGGCUCCCGCUACACGUGUUCACGUCUCCAACUUGGGGACCACAUCCGUGCGGUUGCCGCGACCUGGGGGCCUUCCCCAGCCUCUGUUCUCAUCCCAGUGGCACCCAUUAAAUGUCCCCUCCACAGAGAGACGAUCGGUGCCACCCUAUUAACUUAGCCCGCCUGCCCCGUUUAGCCUCCGUCCUAGAGCUGCGGGCAUGUCGUUCAGGCUUGCGAUUCCUUUCCUCUGAUCCUCGGGCUUUGUCUGGGUCCCUUGGUGCGUCCCCGUCUAUGAAGACGAGGACCUUGUCCACUGCUGGGGCCCCGUUGUCCAGGGCUCUGUGGACAUGCACUGAAUGAAUAAACCCACUCAUGCUUGAUGUAUUUGAAAAUGUGUUUCUUCCGUUUUAGAAGAAGCUUCUGUCAAAGACGCCCAAACCACAAUAUUUGGAUGAAGCAAGGCUGACCAUUAGGGUCAGUAGAAACAAUGGCAGUCAGGAGGCAAAAUCCUCGAGCUCUGAUAUCCGAGCACCCAGGUGCUCCGUACUCACCUGGAUGAUAAGAUCCUUGAGCACAGAGACUGAUCCCAGGUCCUGCAAUAGGGACCGGCAUGCGUGUUUGAAGAAUACAUAAGGGGGCAUAUUUGCACCUUGUCCCUUUUCAGUGUUUCUCCUUCCAUUAGAGUCUUUCCUCCAUGGACUGUAGGAAGUCUGAGCGGCUUCUAUGCAAUCCCGUUGCCUUUGUUCCUUGCAUUCUUAUUUAUUUUUAGGAAAACGAAUGCGUCUACUGUGAUUCCAGUAUUAUUGUCUUAUUUAGUUCCCGCCCCAAGAAAAGGGUGAUUACUUAGAACUUUGACAUAUUCCUAACUAAUGUCCCUGCUUCCUGUAGUUUUCCCUUCUGGCAUGUUAAAGAGCCCAGGGCUGUGGCAGCUUAUAAAAUCCUUCUGCAGUCUUUUGAAUUUGCACACGGUGGUCCCUACUAACAAACUGGCCCAUCAAACUGGUGUUCUCCAUCCCUAUCAGUGAGCAUGAAUCUCUAGCCCAGCCCACCUCUAAUUGGAAUUUUUACUUUCUGGGGCAAUUAAAGUGGCUGUUGGUUUAUGCCCAUUUGCCUAUGACAGAAAAGCCACUCAUUUUCCAACAAAGAAGCUGGUGGUUUCUAUCAGUCCCUCUCCAAAGCCAGUUUUCCUCCUUCCUCUCCUUUUUCUUCCCCCUAGCCUCCCUCCUGGGGUCUAAUCCUUGUUCCUCCAAUUGCUUGUUGGGUGACUUUGGUUAAGUUAUUUAACCUGCUUGGGUCCCUCUCCUUCUAUCUAAAGCAACAGUCCCUACUUAGAAUUCUCUUUUUAAUUCUAUUUGUAUUAAAUGAGAAAAUGUUUGUGAGAUCCUUGACAACUUGGUACAUAAGAAAUUCUUAAUAACUGAGACCUACUCUUCCUUCUAAUCCCUUGCUUCUCCCCCUUUCUCUGUCCUCUUCUUUUCUCUUUGUUAGGUGCUCUCUCUUUCUAGUACAUACAUCCUUCCUCCCUUUUGCCCUUCUGUUUGAUCUCUCCUUUGUAACCCAGCUCCAGUGGUUGCCUAAUAAUCAGCUGAUCAGAAGUCACAUGAUCAUUCAUCUGAAAUGUUCAAUCAGAUUCCAGGGCCCUUUGAACUGUGAAAAUCAGUAGAGUUGCUCCGUAACUGUACCGAUAGUCAUGGCAUCAGGACACAACUGCCUGCCUCCUCUCCGGCAGCCACUGGAUUGCAGAGAUCAUCAGAAUGUAGGAGCAUCAAAGAAACAACCCCUUAAUCUGGGGUCAGAUUUUUUCUCUGGACAAAGCCAGUAAGAAAUAUGGUUAUCGUGCUAUUCCUCUCAUCUUCUCUCUUCCGAAUUGAGCAGGGGCUCAUUAAUUGUUUGCCCAGUGUCUUCAGGCCAGCUGUUAGCUGUGUCUGCUGACUCUCUGUAUUACUGGCCAACGUGUCAGCACCUUGUUAAUUGUGGAAACACUUCCAUUGACAAUUUUGGAGAGAAAUCCUGCUUUCUGAAGGAAUAUACCAUUCAGCAAAUCAGAGUUUUGUGUCGAGUGAUGGUUACCCAUCAACUCCCUAAAUGCUUCCUCAGGGGACGUUGCAUUAUUCCUUCAGUUUGCAGCGUCGUUUGUUAAAAUUUCCUCAAUUUGAGGAAGUAGAGAAAUGUUUUCAGAGUGAUUUUUUUCAUUUAUAUGCCCAAAUAGCCUGCUUUAAAAAAUUAUCCUCCCAAUUCUGUGUGUCUGUAUUUAUGUACGUAGGCAAUGGGAACACUUAUACACGGGAAUAUUCACACCACUGCUAAGUGCUACGCUGAUACGUAUUGGCCACAGGACAAUUACAAGUACGUGAAGUUGUAAGAAGUUUAAUCCUGCCUUGUCUCGGGCCUGUAACAGUGCUGGCAUCAUUGCAUACGCUGUCUGUUGAACUCUGCACAAUAAUUCUGCAAAGCUGAGUUUACAGUUUCCAUUUGCACAAGAGGAAACCCGGGCAGUGAAAAGGUAUCAGGUGCCAGUGUGAACAGAAGAAGGUCGGGUGGACAUUGUUAACGUAGCAAAUGUGGGGUGAGGAAAGUGAGUGGACCUGGUACCUCGGGGCAUGGGGCCUGGGAACAUCCCUACUUGCUGUUGUGGCCUCAGACAGGGCGUUUUACUUCUUACACCUCAGAGUGAUUACUAAUGCAUGCAAGUGGGGAUUCCUGUCCUGCCAACCUCACAAGACUGGGGUGAAAACCAGCAUCCUGGCAAAGCCAAAUGAAUGCUUCUUCCCUUCUUCAAAAAAGAGAAAGAAAACAGAAGGAAACAAGAAUAAUCUCAGAUAAGCAAAAUCCUGCAUGUAGAGAAGAUUUCCUCAAUUCCCAGGGAGGAGUUCUUCACCAUUUGAGUUUCGAUAGCACUGAUUGAUGUAUAACUUUGUCAUACAAUUUGCCAAAAUACAAGGGCCUCAAAAGAGGAGACUCUGCCUCCAUUCCACGUUUAAUAAACAUUGAUUGAGCCAUUGGCAUGUGCCCAAACCCUGCACUAAACAUCAGUGACUGAGCCAAAACCGACACAGUUCCUGCUCUCAUGGGGCAUAUAUGGUUUAGUACAGGGAAGAGGAAUUGAAUUAGCUCGUACAGUGGGAACUUCUAACAGUGACAAUCACUUAAAGAAGAGGUGCCGGUUUUAAUAAGAACUCCCGAUAGGGGAUUUAAUCCGGCCAGAGUGUAAGCACACGGAAGAGGCUGCCCUAUGAGAGAUGCUGAGCUGAAUCAGAACGCUCUACUUCCUCUUCGGGCCAUGACAAGUACUUAGAAGAGCGCUUGGCACAUAGCAGAUGUUCUACAAAUGUUGGCUGAAGGAAGUAAGAGUAGGCUGUUGAAAAUGCCUUAGAUGAUAAUUAUAUUCACAUUACACUGCACAGUUGAAGCCCUCAGCACAUUUUCCCUCAUUUUAUCUCACAAUAAUAAAAGACAUUCUGUGAUUAUUAUUCUUUUUAUAGAGAAUUAAUUUUUAAGUAAUUUUUCCAGUAAUUUUAAAGUAAUUUUAGUAAUUUUUCCAAGGCUCUACAGCCAGGAAGAAGUGAAGCUGGGAUUUGAACCCAGGUGUUCUGAACCCAGAGUCUCAGACCUGAGCGGCUGCAUCAUUGGACAGCAACAUGUGUGCCAGCUUUGUGCUAGAUAUUUUCCUGGUAUUAUUUCAUGACAUACCUGGGAGAGG